AGAAACAAUAUUUAUGGAGUUAUAAUGUGAUUGUUGAUAAAAACCGAUACAGACAAAUACUUGCCGUUUGCCGACCAAUGUGGAGUGUAGAGUUGUAUAAAGGUGUUUCAUCAAUUCAUUGAUAGAAGAGGAGAUUCUGACUACAAAGAUUUAGAGAAGCUUAAUGAGAGGCAUAAAAACCGAUACAGGCGAUUCCCUGCUCCUCUAUCUAUGUAUGCUGACCAACGUAGAAUGUAGAUUUGUAUAACGGUGUUUCAAUUCACUGAUGGAAGAAAAGAUUCCAACAA